UGCCCCAUGGCUGAGUUGGUUACAGCGUCCGACUGUUAAGUUCAUAUCUUGAGCAACGAUAAUCGGAAGGUCAUGAGUUCGAGCCUCAUUGGGGCAG